rnacentral:rRNA from 1 species
CCGCAAGGCUAAAACCCAAAGGAAUUGACGGGGGCUUACACAAGCGGUGGAGCAUGUGGUUUAAUUCGAAACAACGCGCAAAACCUUACCAAUCCUUGACAUAUGAAAAACCAGGGUGUUUACCCGCUCUGUCUCUUUUAUACAGGUGCUGCAUGGCUGUCGUCAGUUCGUGGUGUGAGCUGUUGGGUUAAGUCCCAGAACGAACGCAACCCUCCUUUGAAAUGAAGGUUUACCUUUUUCAAAGACUGCCAAGGAUAUCUUGGAGGAAGGUGAGGAUGACGUCAAGUCCGCAUGGCCCUUAUGGGUUGGGCUACACACGUGCUACAAUGGGAAUGACGAAAGGAGGCAACAUGGCAACAUUGAGCAAAUCCCAAAAAGUUUCCUUAGUUCGGAUUGUUCUCUGCAACUCGAGAACAUGAAGUUGGAAUCGCUAGUAAUCGUAGAUCAGCACGCUACGGUGAAUUUGUAUCUAAGCCUUGUACACACCGCCCGUCACACUCUGAAAAUUUUCAUGCCUUGAAGCAAAAGAAGUUCACCAAGAACACACAGCGCAAUUAAAAAAAAACAUCUUCCCUUUUUUUUCUGUGUCUUUGUUGGAACCUUUUCUAGAGUUAGGGAGGUGAUUGGAGUG